AUUGAACGCUGGCGGCAGGCUUAACACAUGCAAGUCGAGCGAGCGGCGGACGGGUGUGUAACGUCGGGGAAACUGCCUGAUGGAGGGGGAUAACUACUGGAAACGGUAGCUAAUACCGCAUAGCAUCAGAUGUGCCAAGAUGGGAUUAGAUAGUAGGUGUGGUAAGCGCUCACCUAGGCGACGAUCCCUAGCUGGUCUGAGAGGAUUACCAGCCACACUGGAACUUAGACACGGUCCAGACGCCUACGGUAGGCAGCAGUGGGGAAUAUUGCACAAUGGGCGCAAGCCUUAUGCAGCCAUGCCGCGUGUGUGAAGAAGGCCGUCGGGUUGUAAAGCACUUUCAGCGAUGAGGCGUUACGCGCAGAAUAAGCACCGGCUAACUCCGUGCCAGCAGCCGCGGUAAUAC
rnacentral:rRNA from 1 species